GUGCCAGCAGCCGCGGUAAGACGAACCGUGCGAACGUUGUUCGGAUUCACUGGGCUUAAAGGGCGCGUAGGCGGCGGCUCAAGUCGGGGGUGAAAUCGUUCCGCUUAACGGGACAAGAGCUUCCGAUACUGGGCGGCUGGAGGGAGGUAGGGGUGCGCGGAACUUCCGGUGGAGCGGUGAAAUGCGUAGAUAUCGGAAGGAACGCCGGUGGCGAAAGCGGCGCACUGGACCUCCACUGACGCUGAGGCGCGAAAGCCAGGGGAGCAAACGGGAUUAGAUACCCCAGUAGUCC
rnacentral:rRNA from 1 species